GAUGAACGCUGGCGGCGUGCCUAAUACAUGCAAGUCGAGCGAACAGACGAGGAGCUUGCUCCUCUGACGUUAGCGGCGGACGGGUGAGUAACACGUGGAUAACCUACCUAUAAGACUGGGAUAACUUCGGGAGACCGGAGCUAAUACCGGAUAAUAUAUUGAACCGCAUGGUUCAAUAGUGAAAGACGGUUUUGCUGUCACUUAUAGAUGGAUCCGCGCCGCAUUAGCUAGUUGGUAAGGUAACGGCUUACCAAGGCGACGAUGCGUAGCCGACCUGAGAGGGUGAUCGGCCACACUGAAACUGAGACACGGUCCAGACUCCUACGGGAGGCAGCAGUAGGGAAUCUUCCGCAAUGGGCGAAAGCCUGACGGAGCAACGCCGCGUGAGUGAUGAAGGUCUUCGGAUCGUAAAACUCUGUUAUUAGGGAAGAACAAAUGUGUAAGUAACUAUGCACGUCUUGACGGUACCUAAUCAGAAAGCCACGGCUAACUACGU
rnacentral:rRNA from 1 species